UGUGUGUGUGUGUGUGUAUAUAAAGACAUAUAGAAACAAAACUCCCUAAAGAAAACCUACAGUUUAACUAUUUUACUGCAUUAUUUAUGGUAGCAUAAUUAGCCGGUGUUGACUAUGAGUUUGUGAUUUCCUUCAUCACUUCAAUUUUAAACUCUAAUAGAUUUUCUUUUUCUGUAACACUUGCUAGUGUGAAACAUGUUAGUAAAAGUUCCUCAUUUGUACUCAUACUUCUGACUGGCAAAGAAUCGAUAACAAUGAUGCUCGGUCUAUAUCUCCGGUUUUAAAACGGAAUAUCUUCCUGAGAAUAUUGGGUGAAACGGGAAAGGACUCUGCGAGACAGGUUAAAAAAAAUCCUAGUUGGGUGAUUCUCAUGACCUUUGGGGUCAAAACACAUGCUGUACAAGGAAACUCUAUGUCACCAACAUCCUCUGACAAACAAUCGAUAACAAUGGUGAUCAAUCUCCGGUUUUAAAACGGAAUAUCUUCCUGAUCGGGUCUGCUAUCAGCUCUUGGAAUCUGCAUAUGUCACCACCCAGGUGUGUGUGUGUGUGUGUGUGUGUGUGUGUGUCCGAGCAGAUGAAUGGGCAGAAACCUCUUGCACCUCUUUAAAAGGAGCUAGCAUCUCAGAGAAGAAGCACAGCUCUGCACAACUUCGAAUGACUUUGGGGUACAACAGAAUUUCUAGACUUGUACAUUUUUUUUUAGAAAAGUAUUGUUUCUUGAACCAUGUCUGACUUUACAGGAAGAUCAACAACUAUAAGUUCUCAGGUUCUAUCCACCUUGUUCGAUCGCGCAGUUUCAGAAGAUCCUAACAUCAUCUUAGAAUCGGAAUUUAUAAGCGAUCUUGCAAAUACUCAGGAGACACACCAGGACCCUACAGGACUAAACAAUACAAACGAUGUCCAGGACAACCACAGAAAGAGUCGCUUGUCAUUGAAUAAGAAAAGAAAUGACUCUGAAGCUAUCAGAUCAUCACAGCUGGUGAAUGCAGCUCCGACACCAUCCGGUUCUGUUCAGACAGGAG